AUUGAACGCUGGCGGCAGGCCUAACACAUGCCAGUCGAGCGGAUGAAGGGAGCUUGCUCCUGGAUUCAGCGGCGGACGGGUGAGUAAUGCCUAGGAAUCUGCCUGGUAGUGGGGGAUAACGUCCGGAAACGGGCGCUAAUACCGCAUACGUCCUGUGGGAGAAAGUGGGGGAUCUUCGGACCUCACGCUAUCAGAUGAGCCUAGGUCGGAUUAGCUAGUUGGUGGGGUAAAGGCCUACCAAGGCGACGAUCCGUAACUGGUCUGAGAGGAUGAUCAGUCACACUGGAACUGAGACACGGUCCAGACUCCUACGGGAGGCAGCAGUGGGGAAUAUUGGACCAUGGGCGAAAGCCUGAUCCAGCCAUGCCGCGUGUGUGAAGAAGGUCUUCGGAUUGUAAAGCACUUUAAGUUGGGAGGAAGGGCAGUAAGUUAAUACCUUGCUGUUUUGACGUUACCAACAGAAUAAGCACCGGCUAACUUCGUG
rnacentral:rRNA from 1 species